GCAAUCGGCCAUUUAGCUUUUAGUACCCCAUUUUGUGUUUCAAUGUUGCUCCGCACUCAAGAGAUAACUCAAAAGCCGGAUACAACGACUAGUGAACACUUGGUGGUCGGAUUAACGCGUCCAACAGCCAUAAAAAUAAUGAGAAAGUGGGAUACACAGCAAAAUGCAUUGUUAGAUAUUAAAACUGUAAUUUUUCUUAGAGGCCUUCCUUCCUCGGUGGCCAUUUACGGUGGCAACACGUCGCGUGCACGACCUUUCGGUAUUGUCUGGCGGUUAGUAUACAGGAAACACGUACAACUGUGCCAACCCUCUUUGGAGUGAGGAAACGGGGAAGAAAAUGAAUAUGAUAUGGAGUACAUGGAGGAUAUUACUCUGGUGAAGGGGCAACCAGUCCCCACAGAUUUCACAUUGCCAUGUGUUUUCCUUUGCAUCUACCACAGAAUCCAUUCGCGAACAACUCGAAUUAAGAUUUUGGCAUGUGGAUUAUCGAUUCUUUCCUAGAUGCAUCUAACAGCCGAUAAUCCAGAUUUGGUAGGUCUAGUAUAUUGUGAAAUAAUAAUGGCGGAAGUACUUCAAUGAAUCAUUUGAGGGAGAAAAAUUGCACUUCCUUUUGGACGGCUAAAAAAAUUGUAGGGGACUUCAAAUAUGUAACCAAUAGACGAUUGCCUCAGAGAAUAUAAUAUAAGUAGUAUUAAUAAUUAUAAAUAUUAUAUUAUUAUUAUUAUUAUAAAGCGUAACUAGAAUUCUUGCAAUAGAUUUACUGUCGACAUGA